GUACGUCUCACCGUCACCGGGUGGCACUGCUGUACACACAGGGAGUAACGUUAGUGGAAACUUGUGGAAUAGGGCUGCAGGAAUAACGCAUUUGUAAGAAAAAGAGAAAACUACUGCAAUAACGCUGAGGAGGACAGUGAAGACACCAACUUUGGAAACACGUCGUGGAACAAAAACUGCGGGGCAGUGGGAGAAAAGGUUCCAGUGACCGUUGUUCUGGACUGAUGCUAGCAAGCUAGUGCAGCUGCUGACGGGUUAAUUAACCUGCGCCACCAGCUAGCUAGUUUAGCUAGCUAGCUAGCUAAAGCAGGCUACUCCACUUCGCGCUCGUUUUACGUGGUCGGGUCUAACCUGAGGAAUUAAUUUACACCAUCAAAUGGCAGAUAUAUAAUACCGGCUCACGGGCCUGUAAUAAAGUUUGGCGGUGGAUGCUUCUGCACGGUGGAGGAACAAACACAUGACUUAAGGCCUGCAAACAGGAAUGCAACCUGAGUGGGCCGAGUCGAGGGAAGGGACAGAGGCCAAGGCAACACAGAGCUGAUCUGAGAACAGCCUCUGCCAAGGUAAACACACAGUGAGAGAGCUUGGGAGCCAUGGGUGUAAAUAUAGAAAGAUUAUGGUGGUUUGACACGUAUCCCUCCCCAUCUGAUUCACAUCCCGGAGCAUUAACUGUCUUGAUCUGCGCUGAGGAGAGUAACGCUGGCUG